GGGCCCGCACAAGCAGUGGAGCAUGGGGUUUAAUUCGAUGCAACGCGCAGAACCUUACCCAGGCUCGAAGUGUAGUGGACAACUCCUGAAAGGGAGCUUCUCGUAAGAGUCGCUAUAUAGGUGCUGCAUGGCUGUCGUCAGCUCGUGCCGUGAGGUGUUGGGUUAAGUCCCGCAACGAGCGCAACCCUUAUCAUUAGUUGCCAGCAACUCGGUUGGAACUCUAAUGAGACUGCUAGGUUAACUAGGAGGAAGGCGAGGAUGACGUCAAGUCCGCAUGGCCUUUAUGUCUGGGGCUACACCCGUGCUACAAUGGUCGGUACAGAAGGCAGCAAGACCGCAAGGUGGAGCA
rnacentral:rRNA from 1 species